rnacentral:rRNA from 1 species
CACGUGGACAACCUACCCUUAGGUCGGGGAUAAACCCGGGAAACUGGGUAUAAUACCCGAUAGUCCUCGGAUGCUGGAAUGCACCGAGGUCUAAAGCUCCGGCGCCUAAGGAUGGGUCUGCGGCCUAUCAGGUAGUAGUGGGUGUAGCGUACCUACUAGCCUACGACGGGUACGGGUUGUGAGAGCAAGAGCCCGGAGAUGGAUUCUGAGACACGAAUCCAGGCCCUACGGGGUGCAGCAGGCGCGAAAACUUUACAAUGCUGGAAACAGCGAUAAGGGAACCUCGAGUGCCAGGUUACAAAUCUGGCUGUCGUGAUGCCUAAAAAGCAUUGCAUAGCAAGGGCCGGGCAAGACCGGUGCCAGCCGCCGCGGUAACACCGGCGGCUCGAGUGGUAACCGCUAUUAUUGGGUCUAAAGGGUCUGUAGCCGGCCGGAUAAGUCUUUUGGGAAAUCUGGCAGCUUAACUGUCAGGCUUUCAGAGGAUACUGUCUGGCUCGAGGCCGGGAGAGGUGAGAGGUACUUCAGGGGUAGGGGUGAAAUCUUGUAAUCCUUGAAGGACCAC